AGAGAGAGACAUGCGCGCAUAUCAAUAAGCGGAGGAAAAGAAACUAACAAGGAUUCCCUUAGUAACGGCGAGUGAAGCGGGAAGAGCUCAAAUUUGAAAUCUUCAAGGUUUUACCUUGACGAAUUGUAGUUUAAAGAAGUGUUUUCUGCUGGAGUUUUGGUAAAAGUUCUUUGGAAUAGGACAUCAUAGAGGGUGAGAAUCCCGUAUUUGACCAUUAUUUUCAGCUUUGUGAUACACUUUCAAAGAGUCGGAUUGUUUGGGAAUGCAGUCCAAAAUGGGUGGUAAAUUUCAUCUAAAGCUAAAUAUUGGCGAGAGACCGAUAGCGAACAAGUACCGUGAGGGAAAGAUGAAAAGAACUUUGAAAAGAGAGUUAAACAGUACGUGAAAUUGUCAAAAGGGAAGCGUUUGACACCAGUGUUGUUUUCUCGAAAAUCAAUUAAAAAUGGCUCGAUUUUGUAUUGCUUGAGACCUUAAAAGCUCACUGUACAUUUUUCGUGUCUUUUUUAAUGCACUUUUCGUUUAACAAGUCAACAUCAGUUUCUUUUGUUGUAAAAGGGUCAUUGGAAGGUGGCUUUCUUUUCGGAGAAAGUGUUUAUAGCCUUUGGCCUCUGCAAUCGGAGAGACUGAGGUCUGCAGCGUAGACUCUUCGGGGUUAGAUACAUUUGUGCUAAGUUAUAGCUUUUUAUAGACAACUUGUUGACUAUAAUUAGUCUUGUAGCUUACUCGCUUAUGCUAUUUUACCUACGCUUAGGAUGUUGAAGAUGUAGCACAUCAU
rnacentral:rRNA from 1 species